CCCUUAGAUGUUCUGGGCCGCACGCGCGCUACACUGACGGAGCCAACGAGUAUUUUCCUUGUCCGGAAGGACUGGGUAAUCUUGUGAAACUUUGUCGUGCUGGGGAUAGAGCAUUGUAAUUAUUGCUCUUCAACGAGGAAUUCCUAGUAAGCGUGAGUCAUCAGCUCGCGUUGAUUACGUCCCUGCCCUUUGUACACACCGCCCGUCGCUCCUACCGAUUGAAUGCUCAGGUGAGCCAUUCGGACUUUCAUCAUGCUGGUUUCCAGUUUUGAUGAAGGAAAGUCUUGCGAACCUUAUCAUUUAGAGGAAGGAGAAGUCGUAACA
rnacentral:rRNA from 1 species